rnacentral:rRNA from 1 species
ACCCGCUGAAUUUAAGCAUAUCAAUAAGCGGAGGAAAAGAAACCAACAGGGAUUGCCUUAGUAACGGCGAGUGAAGCGGCAAAAGCUCAAAUUUGAAAUCUGGCACCUUCGGUGUCCGAGUUGUAAUUUGAAGAAGGUAACUUUGGAGUUGGCUCUUGUCUAUGUUCCUUGGAACAGGACGUCACAGAGGGUGAGAAUCCCGUGCGAUGAGAUGCCCAAUUCUAUGUAAAGUGCUUUCGAAGAGUCGAGUUGUUUGGGAAUGCAGCUCUAAGUGGGUGGUAAAUUCCAUCUAAAGCUAAAUAUUGACGAGAGACCGAUAGCGAACAAGUACUGUGAAGGAAAGAUGAAAAGCACUUUGAAAAGAGAGUGAAAAAGUACGUGAAAUUGUUAAAAGGGAAGGGUAUUGAAUCAGACUUGGUGCUGUUGUUCAACUGUGUUUCGGCACAGUGUACUCAGCAGUACUAGGCCAAGGUGGGGUGUUUGGGAGUGAAAAAGAAGUUGGAACGUAACUCUUCGGAGUGUUAUAGCCUACUUUCAUAGCUCCUCAGGCGCCUCAGGACUGCGCUUCGGCAAGGACCUUGGCAUAAUGAUUCUAUACCGCCCGUCUUGAAACACGGACCAAGGAG